UGGUGCCCUGUGAAUUUUGUCACAUUAGAAUGAUCUAGAUUUUGCAACAUGAUAACUGAUUAACUUUGACCAUACUGUGGGAAGACAGUCGGCUUGUGUUCAUUUGCUCCUUGCAGCUUUAUCUUUGCUUUUGCAACCAUUUUCUGUGAUAAGCAAAAUAAAUUAAAGUUUCAAGGGAAUCCGUUUGUCAAGUAAUACGGCAUUGUGAAUCUCCAUCUACAUACACAAUCUUUCUGGAGGUCCAUAUAAACAAUGAAGUCUAAGAACAGGUUUUUACACUGUAUUACAUUUCAUUAUAGGCAUAACCCUGUUGAUCUGUUUGGUUCUCAAUGAAAGAGGCCCUUCACGGCAGCUUACUUUUCAUAACAGACCCCAUUUCAAACAAGAGAUUAGAGAUUAAGCCAGUUGGCCAGUGACUUAAGUAUAAAAUAUCUUAUCUGGGCUUUGCGAAAUCUCUUCAUUUAAAACUACUUACCUAAAAGGCUUAUUUGUUUUGUUGUGGUGUCAUCACAGGCCACACCUAGAGAAUUUAGAAUUGUUUCUUAGAGCUUAUUCAGAUGUUUUCUGCUAAGCUGUCUUUAAGUAAGGUAUUGAGAAGCAACAUAACCUUUUUGGGCCAUAACCUCCAGUGUGAUGGGAAUGCUCUCUGUCACCACAAAAGCAUGGCAUUUCUGCAGCCUUUGGACAAGUCUGAGGAGGGAAAUGGAUGGGGUCCCUGCCAAGUGGUACUUGUGGGCAUUUGAGUAGGUCGUGGGGAGCUCUGUAAUAGUGAUUCCAAAACCACAAGGUCUCCCUGUUCUCCCUUUGGUGCUAGAUUCCUAAGUUAUGCCCCGCCCCACCCCUACCGUCUGUCCUAUAGCCACUUGUUCUGUAGUGGGGACCAAGGGUAGGUAAUAACAGAUGAUUCAUUCCAUAUGACUAACCUCCAGCACUGGGGCUUUCUUAACGUGUGACAGUGUGAUUCUAGUUAGCUUCUGCAUUGCAGCCUCAACUUCUGUACGUGUUUGGCAUAUGGAAUGUGAGACACUUUAUGUUCCAAUGCAAUAUGGUAAUCACCACCUGAAUAUAAAUUCAGUAAUUAAAGCUCCAAAAGAAGCGACGAUAUUUAACAAGAAAUGCUGGGAAGAGUUGAUGUUUAUAGAGCUGUUUGUUGUUCCGAGUAGCUGGCUUUGUCUUCCACUGUAUCAGUAGUGUGUUGUACAUGGCUAUUCUAAAAGGAUGGUCUUGAUUUAUGGAGUGUGUUUACAUAAUUGAGGGGGUUAGCUGAGAAACAAAAAAAGUUCCCUUGAAGGACUGAAGGACUGCUCGUUUAGAGGGAGCCACUGAGGUGACCUGCUUUUACUUUGAAAUCUGCGCAACCACAGGGUCGUAUUUGGUGUUUUCAUUGACAUUUUAGGUCCAGGAGACCUGUUUUCCUUCUGGCUUUGCUAUUGGUUGAGUUGACCAAGCCUGCCCAAAGUCUGGCUAUGUCUCCCGCACAUCAUUAAUAACUAUUAGAAUUGUCUUGCCCUGGCUUUGAUUAGCACUACUGUGACUACACUACCAAAAGCAAUUGGAUGGUAAUUAAUUAAAGGGGUGCCGAUGAUUCCUUCCCUUUGCAAACAUGUGGUCAGCAUUCUGUGCUGGCUUUCUCUUUUCAUGUUUUAAUCCUGGCUCUGACAAGAGACGAGCUUUUGCUAAAAUACUAAAACGACACUUAUUAAUGAUUUCUCUGAGAGAGACACUUCACUGGUAUUCUUCAUCGCUGUGAGUGAGUUAACGUUGGCUGGUACAUCACAACCAAGGUGAUCCGGUAUGUCAUUUUUUUUCCACUGUAAACUCUUUUUUAAAAAUGACUUUAUUGAGGUAUAAUUGAUAUAGCAAACGCUGGACAUAUUUAAUGUAUACCACUUGAUGAGUUUGGAGAUAAGUAUAUAUAUUCGUGCAACCGUCACCACAACCUGUGCCGUACUACGGCUCCUUGAUGUAGCCCUUCUGAGAUGGUGAAGGGAAGUGGAAACCAGCAGUGGCUUUCUCACCACUUGAGUUGUUUACAGUCGAAGCCUAUGUGGGAUAAUGAGGCCUGAUCUAAGCUGGGGUGUGGUAUUCCUGGAUGCCUGCAGUGGGCAUAAACAUCUGUAACUGGCACUUGCCAAGCAAGCAUGGCUCUUGUGCUCAACUCUGUCCUGCUUCCCUUUAUCCCCAGCCACAUACUUGCUCACCACAGGGUCUGUCACAUUGUACCUCUUGGAGCCCUGCAUUGGAACAGAGGAGACACAGGUCCUGGCCACUCACAAGUCGCAUGAAGAAACUGGAACCUCUGCCUACUCAGGAUCGCUCAGCCCUUCUUCUAGGCUUGGGCCCUCCCCUUCUAUUCCCUGGAGGAACAGGGCCCACAGGCUCUUUUGUCCUCAGGGCAGGGUCUGGGUGGCAAAUUGCCUCCAGGCCGCCUCCUGCUUCUACUCCGGAAACCAGAACUCAGGACAGGCCCUCUAAGUCCCAGGAACCGGACUCUGCACACAAAGAUUUCUUCUCCUUUAUACUUUGCAUUGUCCUCCAGGGGAAGGAAUACUACAAAUUAUUAUCUUAAUAAACUAUCAUGUCAAGGACACAUACGUCUUCACUUUCUACCACCCUCCAUUCCUCUUGGGAAUCCUGGCUAGCAGUAUUAAAAAAGCCAUCUGCUUUUCUUUUCAAAUCACACACACAUUUUUCCAGAUGAAGAGGUUACAACAUUCAGGAUUGGAAUUUUGUGGAAACACGUGCAUGCAUACUUAAACUCCCAUACUCCACUGCUGACGAGUAACCACCAUUAUUGUUUAUGUACAUUUCCUUCCAGUCCUUUUUUUUUUUUUUGCCUUUUCUAUACUUUAAACAUGUUUGACGGCAGGUUUUGGACUCUACGUUUGUUUUUCACCUUUGUCUUUGUAAGCAUUUUUGGAAUAAUGUACCAUCUUACUGAUUGUCAUCAGUUCUCUGCCAUCUCAGAAAAAUGUCCAAAAAAGGGAUGUGUACAUAGAGUGGAUGGUAAAACAGCUAGAUUACAUACAAAAAAAAAAAAACAAAAAC